rnacentral:rRNA from 1 species
UUAGAGUGUUCAAAGCAGGCAGAUUCAAUUUUCUGCCACCGAAUACAUUAGCAUGGGAUAAUGGAAUAGGACCCUGUCCUCCUUUUUUCAGUUGGUUAAUUCAUGAGAGAGGAUCAGGGUAAUGAUUAAUAGGGAUAGUUGGGGGCAUUAAUAUUUAAUUGUCAGAGGUGAAAUUCUUGGAUUUAUGAAAGAUUAACUUCUGCGAAAGCAUCUGCCAAGGAUGUUUUCAUUAAUCAAGAACGAAAGUUAGGGGAUCGAAGACGAUCAGAUACCGUCGUAGUCUUAACCAUAAACGAUGCCGACCAGCGAUUAGGAGACGUUGAAUACAAAACACCUCUAUAUAUAAUUCAGUAUAUGGUCAGUCAAAUGGCUGUGUAUUGUUUGUAUAUA